UUAAGUGUGUGUUUUUUUUUUUUUUUUUUAAAAAAAAGAAAAAAAUAACAACCCUUAGCCUCCAGUGCGUUACUGUGAUAUGUUCUGUGCGUGCCAAAUUCUAAUAGCCUGAAUAAAUGGGGUUUCCCUCCCCUGGGUCAGUGA